GAUGAACGCUAGCUACAGGCUUAACACAUGCAAGUCGAGGGGAAACGACAUCGAAAGCUUGCUUUUGAUGGGCGUCGACCGGCGCACGGGUGAGUAAUGCGUAUCCAACCUGCCCAUCACUUGGGAAUAACCUUGCGAAAGUAAGACUAAUACCCAAUGAUAUCCCACGAAGGCAUCGGAAUGGGAUUAAAGAUUUAUCGGUGAUGGAUGGGGAUGCGUCUGAUUAGCUUGUUGGCGGGGUAACGGCCCACCAAGGCAACGAUCAGUAGGGGUUCUGAGAGGAAGGUCCCCCACAUUGGAACUGAGACACGGUCCAAACUCCUACGGGAGGCAGCAGUGAGGAAUAUUGGUCAAUGGGCGAGAGCCUGAACCAGCCAAGUAGCGUGCAGGAAGACGGCCCUAUGGGUUGUAAACUGCUUUUAUAAGGGAAUAAAGUGGGUCACGUGUGACUUUUUGCAUGUACCUUAUGAAUAAGGACCGGCUAAUUCCGU
rnacentral:rRNA from 1 species